rnacentral:rRNA from 1 species
GAUGAACGCUGGCGGCGUGCUUAACACAUGCAAGUCGAACGAUGAAGCCAGCUUGCUGGUGGAUUAGUGGCGAACGGGUGAGUAACACGUGAGUAACCUGCCCUUAACUCUGGGAUAAGCCUGGGAAACUGGGUCUAAUACCGGAUAUGACUCCUCAUCGCAUGGUGGGGGGUGGAAAGCUUUUGUGGUUUUGGAUGGACUCGCGGCCUAUCAGCUUGUUGGUGAGGUAAUGGCUCACCAAGGCGACGACGGGUAGCCGGCCUGAGAGGGUGAGCGGCCACACUGGGACUGAGACACGGCCCAGACUCCUACGGGAGGCAGCAGUGGGGAAUAUUGCACAAUGGGCGGAAGCCUGAUGCAGCGACGCCGCGUGAGGGAUGACGGCCUUCGGGUUGUAAACCUCUUUCAGUAGGGAAGAAGCGUAAGUGACGGUACCUGCAGAAGAAGCGCCGGCUAACUACGUGCCAGCAGCCGCCGUAA